rnacentral:rRNA from 1 species
UACGUAGGUGGCAAGCGUUGUUCGGAAUUACUGGGCGUAAAGCGCGCGUAGGCGGUUCUUCAAGUCAGGCGUGAAAGCCCCGGGCUUAACUCGGGAACUGCGCUUGAUACUGUCGAGCUAGAGUGUGGAAGGGGCGAUUGGAAUUCCGUGUGUAGCGGUGAAAUGCGUAGAUAUACGGAGGAACACCAGAGGCGAAGGCGGAUCGCUGGGCCAACACUGACGCUGAUGUGCGAAAGCUAGGGGAGCAAACGGG